rnacentral:lncRNA from 1 species
GGGGAGGGGCGCUGCCGGCGGGGGGCGCUGCGGGAGCACCCUUAGGUGCCGGGGGGGGGGAGCGCCGCGGAGCUCAGCCCCCCCAAAACGGCGAUGCUGAGGGCGGUGAAGGUGAUGGGUGGGGGAAAAUCCAGGCAGGCGUUUGAGCAGGCAGAGGGUUGGGGAGCAAAGCAGGUGGAAACGCAGCGGUUCUUGCACGGGAUGUACUGGCAGCUAGCUCUGGAUGGCAGUAGCAGCCUGGUCUCUUAGCGGUGCCUGGGAAGCUGCAAAUUCAGCGAAGUGCAUCGAAACCUCGGCACUGGUCCUCGCGCUGCAGUGGGCCCACGUACACCAGCGGCUUCCAGUUCUGUCACCGGAGAAAAUGUGUCGCUAGUGUAUGCAGAUUGCAGUGUACAGAUACUGCUGGUAUUGCCCGGUGCUCACUGUGGGUCUGGGUGAAUCACAGAGAUGCUCCAUUCAGCAAGUUCCCAGCUGCUUACAGGCAGAUUUUAACUUCUGCUUGGAAACCAGACUGGACACUGCCAUGUGAAAUAGGCAAAGAGCCUCGCACUGGUCUUCUACUAACACUGAAAACGGAACUUGAUAGCUGCAAGGGAACCAGAACCACCCCAAACACUGUUUCUACUUUGCUUUUGUGAACAGGUUUGUUUCAGCAAGAAGCUGUUUCUGUGACAGAGCAGAGUAUGGCCUGGAUAACAGGAGGCACGUUGAGCAGAUCAGAAGAAAAGAAGCGCUUCCUUGCAGUGAGUCUGCCUGGCUUUGAAGGAGUGACAUAAAAGAAGUGAGAAAACCCUUGUAGUCUUCAUGUUUUAAAGUAAGGCAAGACAUAGAGAAAUGCAGCCUCUCGUAAGACAGGUUGGAGGCUGUGCUAGGAGAAGGGUGUUGUUAGCCAACAUGACCCUUCAGAAGCUUCACAAGACGGACACUUUUUUUCUCCCCAUGAUGUCCAACUCAGACCUCUUUCACUUUGCAAAGGCUUCAGCAGGUGUGUACUUAAUGCAGCUACUUCUGGUGGGGAAGAGGACAUCCAUUUGGCCUCAGUUCCUAUUGGGGUUGGGAGCAGGGAAUUAAAGACACCAG